rnacentral:lncRNA from 1 species
GUGCAUGUUAAAGGGGAGAGUUUUUUGUUUUAUGAUCCAAUAGUUUCAUACCUGAAAUUUUUUUUGUAAAAUCUUUGUAAUUUUACAUUGUUGUUGCAAUUGUUUUCUUUUUCCUUUCUUGUUUCAUGAUCUGUUUUUUUAAUAAUGGUCUGUUUUAUAUAAUGGUCUGUUGCAAAAGUGAAGCAUUAUUUUAAUAAUGGUCUGUUUUUUACCUCUUUAGUAUUAUUUUUAUGAUCCAAUGGUCUCGUAACUGAAAAAUUGUGUAAAAUCUUUGUAAUUUUACAUUGUUGUUGCAAUUGUUUUCUUUUUCCUUUUUUGUUUCAUGAUCUGUUUUUUUAAUAAUGGUCUGUUGCGAAAGUGAAGCAUUAUUUUAAUAAUGGUCUGUUUUUUACCUCUUUAGUAUUAUUUUUAUGAUCCAAUGGUCUUGUAACUGAAAAAAUGUGUAAAAUCUUUGUAAUUUUACAUUGUUGUUGCAAUUGUUUUCUUUUUCCUUUUUUGUUUUAUGGUCUAAUAGUUUCGUACCUGAAUAAUUUUAUGUAAAAUCUUUGUAAUUUUACAUUGUUGUUGCAGUUGUUUCUUUGUGACAGGUGAAUCACUCAUGAAGCAUACUUGGUAUUUACCCUUGUUACAUGUAUAACCAACCAAUAAUCCUGUUUCCAAGUUUCCGUAAGCCACCUGUUAUUUUUCGCCUUGUGCAUAUUUUUUCGCUGAAAAGAACCCUGCUUUUCACAUAAAAAAAAAAUCUUUGCCCUCUCACCAUAUAAUUAUUUUUUCUUGUUAAUGGAGCAAUUAUCAACUUUAUAUUUAUUUGAGCUUCUUCAGAAGUUGUUUUGUUAUCCUCCGUAGUUUCCUUUCUAUCUUGUAUAACGUAUGGAGUUCUU